CUGGACCAAAUCAGUAAGGAAACAACAAAUCAAAGUUCUGAUCUGUGGAAAGGAUCAGUUAUCAAAGUGACCAGGCUUACCAAACUUACCAGACCUGGAAUAACUCCCCUCCGGUGGACCAGCACCUGCAACAAACUCCGAGAGGUUCCAGUCCCAGAUCCCACCUCCAUCGGACCUGUGAACAAAUAAACACGUCAAACUUCA